rnacentral:misc_RNA from 1 species
UGUACUCUCACACUCUCUGGUCCUUUGGAUUCAGGGAGCGGUGGACUUGGGUGUUUGCUGCUUUCCUGGUGGCUCACCUCAAAUGCGUUAGUGCACCUCUUGGUUGGACAUAGUACGGCGUGAUAAGUAUCUUCGCCGGCACCUCGCAAGAGGGUGGCCGAUUGGGAGCUCUGUGCUUUCAAACCGUCUUCGGACAAUCUUUGACA